AUUGAACGCUGGCGGCAGGCCUCACACAUGCAAGUCGAGCGAGCGGCGGACGGGUGCGUAAUGUCUGGGAAACUGCCUGAUGGCGGGGGCUAACUACUGGAAAAGGUAACUAAUACCGCAUACCAUCAGAUGUGCCCAGAUGUGAUUAGCUAGUCGGUGGGUUAACGGCUCACCUAGUCGCCGAUCCCUAGCUGGUCUGAGAGGAUGACCAGCAACACGGGAACUGAGACACGGGCCAGACUCCUACGGGAGGAAGCAGUGGGGAAGAUUGCACAAGGGGCGCAAGCCUGAUGCAGCCAUGCAGCGGGUGUGAAGAAGGCCUUCGGGUUGGAAAGCACUUUCAGCGGGGAGGCGUUACCCGCAGAAGAAGCACCGGCUAACUCCGUGCCAGCAGACGCGGUAAUAC
rnacentral:rRNA from 1 species